rnacentral:tRNA from 1 species
GCCGAUGUAGCUCAGCUGGCAGAGCAGCGGUUUUGUAAACCGCAGGUCGUAGGUUCGAAUCCUAUCGUCGGCU